AGCGCAACCCUCGCCUUUAGUUGCCAGCAUUCAGUUGGGCACUCUAAAGGGACUGCCGGUGUCAAACCGGAGGAAGGUGGGAUGACGUCAAGUCCUCAUGGCCUUUAUGUCUAGGGCUACACACGUACUACAAUGGCAGGUACAAAGGGCAGCGACACAGCGAUGUGAUGCGAAUCCCGAAAAGCCUGUCUCAGUCCGGAUCGGAGUCUGCAACUCGACUCCGUGAAGUUGGAAUCGCUAGUAAUCGUGGAUCAGCAUGCCACGGUGAAUACGUUCCCGGGCCUU
rnacentral:rRNA from 1 species